ensembl:lncRNA
CCAGGUGGCUGCUGCUCUGCUGCUAAGUCACUUCAGUCGUGUCCAACUCUGUGUGACCCCAGAGACGGCAGCCCAGGAGGCCCCCCCACCGUCCCUGGGAUUCUCCAGGACAUGUCAGAAUUAUGGCACACCUGUUUUCCCUAGUGUGAAAGCCUCUCUGCUGCUGCUGCUGCUAAGUCACUUCAGUCAUGUCCGACUCUGUGCGACCCCAUAGACGGCAGCCCACCAGGCUCCCCCGUCCCUGGGAUUCUCCAGGCAAGAAC